UUGACCUCAAUCGGGNGAGACUACCCGCUGAACUAAGCAUAUCAUAAGCGGAGGAAAAAAACUAACAGGAUCCCCUAGUACUGCGAGUGAAGCGGGAAA
rnacentral:rRNA from 1 species